GGCGGAGACGGGCGGCGCGGGGUGGUCGCGAGCCCCGGAGAGGGCGCGGGCGCCGAGCCCCUGCAACCCGAGCCCUUCCCGCCCCUCAUCUCUGCCGCAACACGCAGACUCCCAAAAUCCGUGGGUCUUCGUUUCGGAACGCGGUCCCCGCGAUUUGACACCUCUACAGAGAGAGAGACAGAGCAUGAGUGGGCGAGAGAGAGAGAAGGAGACACAGAAUCUGAACCACGCUCCAGGCUCUGAGCUGUCAGCACAGAGCCCGACGCAGGGCUUGAACUCAUGGACCCUGAGAUCAUGACCUGAGCCGAAGUCGACUGCUCAACCGACUGAGCCACCCAGGCACCCCUAAAAACUUUUAACUUGAUAAACGAACGAUGUCUUGCAAUAUGAGUAGUAUGUGAUGCCAAACAUCACAUGAUCACAGCUGAGCCAAUGGUUUUUCUGUCUCUCUCUAUGGGAUUGUGGAUGAUCAUCUCCGAUGCUCCGAGGCUCUGUCUCAGGCCACGGUGUUUAGCAGAAAUCAGUGAUUUUUCAGAGUGUUGGAAGGUGCCCAGAACUGGCACUAGUGUAUUUUUUGUCACUUUAAAGUGGACAGUCCUUUGCUUCUCCAUACAAGAGUAAACUUAGGAAUGCUUGGCUUCAUUCUAGGUCAUUGAAUAGCUUCCUUGUUAAAGUUGCACAAAAAGAAAAAGAUUCCAUCGAGCCAAUAGAUAGCAGUGAUUCUGUUAGUGAUUGUGACAUAACCUUCUCUCGUCUCCCUCAUACCAGCCACAAAGGUUUUCAAAGGUAAGUGCAGGUUAAUUUGUUUAUUUUUCUCUAUAUUUUGUAUUUUCUUUAUUAUUUUUUAUUAAAUUACAGUAUUAUAAUGAUUUUUAUAUGGAUGUUUUUGGGUUGUGGAACUAAUCAUCUGAGUUUCCAUUAUUUCUUAUGGGGAAAUUCGCUUUGAUAUACAAGUGCUUUGGAUCACAAGCAUGUUUCUGGAACGAAUUAUGCUCACAAACCAAGGUUCUACUGUAUUUGAGGAAGUAACGGAAGUGUAUUUUCCAUUGAUUAAAAAAAAAACAAACCAUGAACCUUUGGAUUUAUGUAUUAUCAAGUUACCAGCAAGAUUUUUUUCUUUUUUUUUUUAAUGUUUAUUUAUUUAUUGGGUGGGGGGCGGCGGGCAGAUAGAGAAGGAGAGAGAGAAUCCCAAGCAGACUUCGGAUGUUAGCUCAGGUCCUGAUGUGGGGCUCAAUCCCACAAACUGUGAGAUCAUGACCUGAGCUGAAAUCAAGAGUCAGACACUUAACCGACUGAGCCCCCCAGGCGCCCUGGAAAUGAACCCAAUUCUUAACCUCUCCCUGUAUUUAUACCCUUUGCAGUAUGACUUUGGCUCUCUUUCCAGGAAAAGCCCUUGAAUUUGGGCUGGCUUUUUGACCUGCUUCGGCCAUUUGAAUGUGAUGGAAAUGAUGGUGUGCCAGAUCCAAGAUUAGGCUCAAGAGGCCUUGUGUGAUUCCUCUCUCUCUCUCAAUCUUUCUCCCAAAAUCCUGCCACUGCAACAAAGACAAGCCUAGAUAGCCUCCCAGAAGGAUAAGAGACUCCAUGGAUAGGAAUCGUCCAGAUAAGACCAUCCCAGCGUGAACCAACCAUUAUCUCACCUGCCCUCUGUAGAUACACUCAUGAUCUCAGCAAAGAUCAGCUGAGCUCAGCCUAGAUGAGCAGAAUCGCCCAGCAGACCUGUAGAUUUGUGAGAAAUAAGUGGUGUUUUCUCAAGACACUAAAUUUUGUGGUGUUUUGUUACAUGACAAUUGGUAACUGACACAGAAAUUGGGAUGUACGGGAUGCCUGGGUGGCUCAGUCAGGUAAGCGUCCAACUCUUGACUUCAGCUCAAGUCGUGGGACCAAGCCCCUCAUCAAGCUCUGCGCUGGGUGUGGAGCCUGCUUAAGAUUCUCUCUCUCCUUCUGCCCCUCCCCCCACCUCUCUCUCUCUCUCUCUCUCUCUCUCUCUGAAAAAAAAGAAAAAAUUGUAAACAUAGGAUGUUACCACGCUAAAUGUGUGCUAUUGGCUUUACAAUUAAGAAGGAAGCAAAGAUUGGAAAAGUGGUAAGGAAACCAUAAAAGGCUAAAAACAAUACGGUGUCCCAUGUUGUGUAUUUUCAAAACAUUUGGGUAAAAUUCUUGUGUUUAGUAACUUACAAGAUAGAAAAUAUGUCUAAUAUACGUUAGACUCAAGAAAGAUCAUUUCGAGGCCGAAUAUUCAAAGUGUCAGUUGGUUACUCUUAACUGCAUGUGACAGGGUUCAACAAGAAAGAGAUGAGCUAAGGAAAGAAGCCACCAGUUUGCAAGCAGCACUGGAAGGAAUCUAGAAGGACCAGAACUUGCAGUCUUAAAGACAGACUCAGUCCUGCUUUCCAGCUGUGAUUGCUGUCUGUAUAACAGGGGAUGUUUGGAAAAUGCUGCCAGAUCCCUAGUUCGCGCUUUCCAGUCGAUGCCCCCGAAGCCCUGCCCAUGACUUUUGCAUCGUACUGCCUAUUCCUGAGAGCUGCUCUCUUCAGGCUCCUGUUUCACUUCUUCUUUUUUUUUUUUUUUAAAGUGACUCCCUUUCUAAUUGUUAAGUAACCUAUGACUACAUGCAUUUGAGAAGCACUUUUGAUGAGCACUCUGUAAUUUUCACCUCUGACUGCUCAGCGUUCUGCUGAAAAGUUUUCAUACAUGCUCAAACCAGUAGGGUGGGACCACAGUGAACCCUGCAGACCAGCUGCACUAUGCAACUUCACGCCUUGCCUCCCGGAGGACAAGGUGGGACUUGAGGGCGAUGUGAAUGAAGGUGCCAGGGGAUGCAGAGAUGAUGCCAUACCAUGAACUACAGGGUGCCCUUACCUCUGUAAACAAGAACGUCUUUGAAACCACACUGUUUGCCCAAUCCCUUGAAUAUAUCCAAGCUUUUGUCCACCAGGGCAGCACCAGACAGUGUAUUGCCCAAGUUCCUAUUUCUUUUAUCAAUAAAGAUGAUACAUUUUUGUGUUCA